rnacentral:rRNA from 1 species
GAUGAACGCUGGCGGCGUGCCUAAUACAUGCAAGUCGAGCGAACAGACGAGGAGCUUGCUCCUCUGACGUUAGCGGCGGACGGGUGAGUAACACGUGGAUAACCUACCUAUAAGACUGGGAUAACUUCGGGAAACCGGAGCUAAUACCGGAUAAUGUAUUGAACCGCAUGGUUCAAUAGUGAAAGACGGUUUUGCUGUCACUUAUAGAUGGAUCCGCGGCGCAUUAGCUAGUUGGUAAGGUAACGGCUUACCAAGGCAACGAUGCGUAGCCGACCUGAGAGGGGGAUCGGCCACACUGGAACUGAGACACGGUCCAGACUCCUACGGGAGGCAGCAGUAGGGAAGCUUCCGCAAUGGGCGAAAGCUUGACGGAGCAACGCCGCGUGAGUGAUGAAGGUCUUCGGAUCGUAAAACUCUGUUAUUAGGGAAGAACAAAUGUGUAAGUAACUAUGCACGUCUUGACGGUACCUAAUCAGAAAGCCACGGCUAACUACGUG